CAAAUAAAAUUCAUAUAAAUAUAUUAUGAUAGAUUUUAUAAAAGCUGGUAAUAGAGAAAAUUUUUAUUUAUUUUUAGGAGGUUAAUGACCUCCGCAAAUUGCAACACAUUCUUCUCUUCCAAAUCACGUGUUUCCUUCCAAAUCAGAAUCUUUCCCUUUCACUCUAAAACCUAACUUCAGAGUGUUCCGCUCCGCGAUUAAGCCAUGUUGUAACAGCGAUCUUCGUCGCGCCAACUCGGCCGUGCCGUCUCCGUCGCGCUAGCUCUGCCGCGUCGUCUCCGUAGCGCCAGCUCUGCCGCGUCGUCUCCGUCGCGCCAGCUCGCCGCGUCGUCUCCGUCGCGUCAGCUCCGUCCCGCGGUCUUCAUCGCGCCAGCUUCGUCGAAAACCUAAGUUCAGAGUGGCAAUCGAUUCCGCUCCGCGAUUAAGCCAUGUCGUAGCCUCUGUUGCAGCGAUCUUCGUCGCGCCAGUUUCGUCUUGUGGUCUUUUGAGAGGACAUGGUGUGGGUCCUUUUGGUUUGAGACUUUUGGUGUGGGUUCGAUGCAUGAAUUCUCUCAGUUUUUAGUUCUUCAGUUUGAACUUGUUCACAAUGGUCGAGGUUCACAUUAUUUUAUUGUGUUCCAGCAAUUUAAUGUUUGCUUUUGUUAGCCAGGCAGAGCUAGCAGUUUCUGAAUUUUCUGGAAAUGGUGCUGGAAUACUAUCUACUGCUAGCACAGCUGCCAGUACUUUUCUCUUAGUUUUUGUCUCCGAAUGGGGUGAUAAGUCAUUUUUCUCCACAAUUGCCCUUGCAGCUGCCUCUUCUCCCUUUGGAGUCAUUGCUGGAGCACUGGCGGGUCAUGGUGUUGCAACUUUGCUCGUAAAGCACCGGAAAUAAGGCUAUGCUAUCUGGAGAAGACCUUAUGUUUUGGAAGAGUCUAAUUCAUCUAGCUGUACUCGGGGGCUCUUUACUUGGAACGUAUUUAUCAGAGAAGCUGUCAAUGGACUCAUCACCUAAUCUCAACUAGCAUCCUGGUUUUAUUCUCUAUCUCUUUAUUCAUUUGUCAUUUGUCAUGUUUAUGUGGCCUAUAUUAUUAAAACUAGCAUUAUUUGUGUGGCCUACAUAGAAGAACAACUACCAUUUGUGUGGCCUAUAUUAUUAUGCAGAAAAUUUAAAAACUGUUCUAAUGUAUAUUCUAAUACUAAAACUUACAAAACACUAUUAUAACAAUGAUAACAAACCUAAAUUGCCCUUUAGAAACUAUUAUUAAAAUUAUCUACUCUCUAGAAUUAUAACAGCAAAAUAAAAAAAUGCACUUAUGAAACAAAAAACACCAAAACUAAAACUGCAGCAAAACAAAGCAAGUAAAAUAAAACUAAUUUUCUAUCUCUAACUAGCUCUAAACUAAACUAAACAACUUCAUAUUCACUAAACUAUCUAAUUAGAUAAAAUGAGGGCUCUGUGAAAUGUGUGAAUGUGCUAAGGGUUUCACUUUCAUAUAUAGAGACAAACAUUAGAGAUUGAUCUAAAAAAUGUUUCUGUUUCUGGUUUCAUUCUGCUCUCAUUUGGUCACGUGAUAUUAUGAUUAAGCAGCAUGAUAUAGUAAUAAUCAUCCACCAUAUUAUAUAUACUUACACAUGCAUCACUCCAAUCAUACAAAAAAAGUGUACCAGAUCAUUUUUGUUGUAGCCUCCAUCAUUGAGUAUUUUCUUCUUCUUCAUGUUCUUGUGGUGUUUAGCAGAUUUUUGUGCAGUUGUAGAACUUUCUGGAGUGGACAAAUUGCAGCACCAUUUCCAUUUGGUUCUGCACCUUUUAUUGGCUUUCCACUGAGUGUUAUUAUGUUGACACGGCUGCUUCUCCCAGUGCUGACAUGGCUACUUGAGGGUAUGGAUUUUCAUAAACAGGAAUCACAAAUUAGUGAGUUCUCAUUAAUAUGAAAUUGAAGGAGCAAUAUUUGGUAGUCACUUCUGAGAAGGUAAUUAAGUUUCAAUAAACCAUGAUUCUUUAAGGAAUUGGUACAGUUCUCCCAUGCAUUCUUUAAGGAUUUAAGCAUUGCUUCAUCUAGUGCUGCCACAUCAUCAACAUCUUCUGAUCAGUGGCAACAGAAAUACACUAAUUUAGAAUCCCAAAUUCAAACCAUCUUGGGUGCACUAAAAGCCUACAUGAUAACGAAGGAAGGAAAGAUCCCUGAUGAAUUAACUGCCUUCUUUGAUCCUCAACCACAACAAACUGGUGAUGCAAAUGAGCCUGAGUCUUCUAUGGGUACAAGAGGAUCAUCUGGUGGUAGCAACAUUUAGGGUGUUGAUGUUUUUUAGGAUGAAACUAUUUUAGUGUAUUAUGAACUUUGAGUAAGUAUGGAUUAAGUUGUAAUUGUUUCAAUUUAAAUUGCUUUUAUGUUAAUAUGUUGAUUUUGAGAAUCAAAAGUUCUAAUGAUAUAUAUUUGAGCACUUUGG